rnacentral:rRNA from 1 species
GUGGGGAAUAUUGGACAAUGGGGGCAACCCUGAUCCAGCCAUGCCGCGUGAAUGAUGAAGGCCUUCGGGUUGUAAAGUUCUUUUGGAGGGGACGAUGAUGACGGUACCCUCAGAAUAAGCUCCGGCUAACUUCGUGCCAGCAGCCGCGGUAAUACGAAGGGAGCUAGCGUUGUUCGGAAUUACUGGGCGUAAAGGGCGCGUAGGCGGUUUGGUUAGUCAGAUGUGAAAGCCCAGGGCUUAACCCUGGAACUGCGUUUGAUACUGCCAAGCUUGAAUUCGGGAGAGGUGAGUGGAAUUCCCAGUGUAGAGGUGAAAUUCGUAGAUAUUGGGAAGAACACCGGUGGCGAAGGCGGCUCACUGGACCGACAUUGACGCUGAGGCGCGAAAGCGUGGGGAGCAAACAGGAUUAGAUACCCUAGUAGUCC